rnacentral:rRNA from 1 species
UACGUAGGGAGCAAGCGUUGUCCGGAAUCAUUGGGCGUAAAGCGCGCGUAGGCGGCCCCGUAAGUCCGCUGUGAAAGUCAAAGGCUCAACCUUUGAAAGCCGGUGGAUACUGUGGGGCUAGAGUCCGGAAGAGGCGAGUGGAAUUCCUGGUGUAGCGGUGAAAUGCGCAGAUAUCAGGAAGAACACCCGUGGCGAAGGCGGCUCUCUGGGACGGUAUUGACGCUGAGACGCGAAAGCGUGGGGAGCAAACAGG